GAUCCUGGCUCAGGACGAACGCUGGCGGCGUGCUUAACACAUGCAAGUCGAACGGACUUUCCAGGACGGAAUCCUUCGGGAGGAAGACCUGGCGAGUUAGUGGCGGACGGGUGAGUAACGCGUGGAUAAUCUGCCCAAUAGACCGGGACAACAGUUGGAAACGACUGCUAAUACCGGAUAAAGUAGCUUUGCGGCAUCGCAGAGUUACCAAAGGAGGCCUCUUAACAAUGCUCCCGCUGUUGGAUGAGUCCGCG
rnacentral:rRNA from 1 species